AUUGAACGCUAGCGGCAUGCCUUACACAUGCAAGUCGAACGGCAGCACGGGGCAACCUGGUGGCGAGUGGCGAACGGGUGAGUGAUGUAUCGGAACGUGCCCAGUAGCGGGGGAUAACUACGCGAAAGCGUAGCUAAUACCGCAUACGCCCUACGGGGGAAAGGGGGGGAUCGCAAGACCUCUCACUAUUGGAGCGGCCGAUAUCGGAUUAGCUAGUUGGUGAGGUAAAGGCUCACCAAGGCUUCGAUCCGUAGCUGGUUUGAGAGGACGACCAGCCACACUGGGACUGAGACACGGCCCAGACUCCUACGGGAGGCAGCAGUGGGGAAUUUUGGACAAUGGGGGCAACCCUGAUUCAGCAAUGCCGCGUGUGCGAAGAAGGCCUUCGGGUUGUAAAGCACUUUUGGCAGGAACGAAACGGUGCCGGAUAAUACCUGGCGCCACUGACGGUACCUGCAGAAUAAGCACCGGCUAACUACGUGCCAGCCGCCGCAGUAA
rnacentral:rRNA from 1 species